AUGACCUGCUUGGGUGACGCAUACAGUGUUUCUUGGAUGGAAGACAGUGAAACUCACAAUCUACAGAAGGAACCCAUCAAGCAGCAGUACGAGGUGGUUAAAGCAAGAACGGCACCCCCAAAUGACUCCAAUAUCGGUUCUCAUGUCAUGGACCUCAAGGGCGCAAUCAAUCAAAGAGAUGUUGAUAUUCUUUUCAUGUGGAAGAAGUAUGAGCAGUUAAAUGUUGGAUCAGAGGAGAAGCAGAGGGCUCUCAGGGAGGUCAAAGAAACUGUGUUACACAGGAAGCUUCUCGACAGCAGUAUCGGUUUCAUCGGGAAGCUUGCCUUUGGAUUUGAGGGACCUUCGGUGCUUGAGGCUACUAAAGGCCCUGGCCAUCCAUUAGUAGACUAUUGGGAUUGUCUGAAGACGAUGGUGCGAGAUUUCGAGUCCCAGUGCGGAUCACUCACUCAGUAUGGCAUGAAACACAUGAGGGCGUUCACAAACAUCUACAACAUGGGGAAGUGGAGCCCGCCGGUUCUAGGGCACAGCGCCUGA
rnacentral:rRNA from 1 species